UACGUAGGGAGCAAGCGUUGUCCGGAAUCAUUGGGCGUAAAGCGCGCGUAGGUGGCUUCGUAAGUCCGUUGUGAAAGUCAAAGGCUCAACCUUUGAAUGCCGAUGGAUACUGCGAAGCUAGAGUACGGAAGAGGCGAGUGGAAUUCCUGGUGUAGCGGUGGAAUGCGCAGAUAUCAGGAGGAACACCAAUAGCGAAGGCAGCUCGCUGGGACGUUACUGACACUAAGGCGCGAAAGCGUGGGGAGCGAACAGG
rnacentral:rRNA from 1 species